CUUCAAGUAACGGGAACCUACAUUUAAACAAGUCAACAACCAAUCCCUGGUUAACCAUAUAUACGCUUGAGUUCAGUACUCAUGUAGUGUUAGACACUUAGACUAUACAAGUAUCAUGAGCCGGUCGACCAACAAUCAAACAAGAACAUGAUCGCCCAACCAAUGAUACCGCAUAGCUUUAAUAUCCACCACCCUUCACAAGCAAUCCCUCAAACACAUACAGGCCAACGUCAGGCCUACACUAACCAAAUACACACU
rnacentral:lncRNA from 1 species